AGGCCUAUCAGUAUCCUGAGUAGGGCGGGACACGUGAAAUCCCGUUUGAAUCCGCGAGGACCAUCUCGCAAGGCUAAAUACUAACCAGUGACCGAUAGUGAACCAGUACCGUGAGGGAAAGGUGAAAAGAACCCCGGGAGGGGAGUGAAAGAGAACCUGAAACCGUGUGCCUACAAGUAGUCAGAGCCCGUUAACGGGUAAUGGCGUGCCUUUUGUAGAAUGAACCGGCGAGUUGCGUUAGUCAGCAAGGUUAAGUCAGAAAAGACGGAGCCGUAGCGAAAGCGAGUCUGAAGAGGGCGAGCAGUUGGCUGACGCAGACCCGAAACCAAGUGACCUACCCAUGACCAGGUUGAAGGCGCGGUAAAACGCGCUGGAGGACCGAACCCACGUAAGUUGAAAAUUGCGGGGAUGAGUUGUGGGUAGCGGUGAAAUUCCAAACGAACUUGGAGAUAGCUGGUUCUCUCCGAAAUAGCUUUAGGGCUAGCCUCGCAAAGAGGAUGCUGGAGGUAGAGCUCUGUUUGGACUAGGGGCCCGUCAAGGGUUACUGAAUUCAGAUAAACUGCGAAUUCCAGACAUUUAUGUGCGGGAGUCAGACUGCGAGUGAUAAGAUCCGUAGUCGAAAGGGAAACAGCCCAGAUCACCAGUUAAGGUCCCAAAAUUCAUGCUAAGUGGAAAAGGAUGUGGAGUUGCGCAGACAACUAGGACGUUGGCUCAGAAGCAGCCAUCAUUCAAAGAGUGCGUAAUAGCUCACUAGUCGAGUGACGCCGCGCCGAAAAUUUACCGGGGCUAAGCAUGAUACCGAAACUGUGGAUGUGCAUUUAUGCACGUGGUAGGAGAGCGUUCUAGCGGCGGUGAAGCAUGACCGAGAGGACAUGUGGAGCUUCUAGAAGUGAGAAUGCCGGUAUGAGUAACGAAAGACAGGUGAGAAUCCUGUCCGCCGCAAGACUAAGGUUUCCUGGGGCAGGCUCGUCCGCCCAGGGUAAGUCGGGACCUAAGGCGAGGCCGAGAGGCGUAGUCGAUGGACAACAGGUUGAAAUUCCUGUACUGCACCGAAUC
rnacentral:rRNA from 1 species